GGAGCUGUGGCUUAGCUGGUCAAAGCGCCUGUCUUGUAAACAGGAGAUCCUGGCCUCUAAUCCCAGCAGCGCCU
rfam:Danio rerio chromosome 4, GRCz11 reference primary assembly.